rnacentral:rRNA from 1 species
AGCAGUCGCCACGGGAAUACGAGGGGGGCAAGCGUUGUUCGGAUUUAUUGGGCGUAAAGGGUGCGUAGGCGGUUUGGCAAGUCUUGUGUGAAAUCUUCGGGCUCAACCCGAAGCCUGCACGAGAAACUACCGGGCUUGAGUAUUGGAGAGGUGAGUGGAAUUUCCGGUGUAGCGGUGAAAUGCGUAGAUAUCGGAAGGAACACCUGUGGCGAAAGCGGCUCACUGGACAAUAACUGACGCUGAUGCACGAAAGCUAGGGGAGCAAACAGGAUUAGAUACCCGCGUAGUCCCUGUCUCUUAUAC